rnacentral:rRNA from 1 species
CCAGACUCCUACGGGAGGCAGCAGUGGGGGAUAUUGCACAAUGGGGGCAACCCUGAUGCAGCGACGCCGCGUGAGCGAUGGAGUACUUCGGUAUGUAAAGCUCUAUCAGCAGGGAAGAAAAUGACGGUACCUGACUAAGAAGCUCCGGCUAAAUACGUGCCAGCAGCCGCGGUAAUACGUAUGGAGCAAGCGUUAUCCGGAUUUACUGGGUGUAAAGGGAGCGUAGGCGGUAAGGCAAGUCUGAUGUGAAAGGCCAGGGCUCAACCCUGGGACUGCAUUGGAAACUGUUUAACUGGAGUGUCGGAGAGGCAAGUGGAAUUCCUAGUGUAGCGGUGAAAUGCGUAGAUAUUAGGAGGAACACCAGUGGCGAAGGCGGCUUGCUGGACGAUGACUGACGCUGAGGCUCGAAAGCGUGGGGAGCAAACAGGAUUAGAUACCCCUGUAC